AACGAACGCUGGCGGCAUGCCUAACACAUGCAAGUCGAACGAGACCUUCGGGUCUAGUGGCGCACGGGUGCGUAACGCGUGGGAACCUGCCCUUAGGUUCGGAAUAACUCCCCGAAAGGGGUGCUAAUACCGGAUAAUGUCUUCGGACCAAAGAUUUAUCGCCUUUGGAUGGGCCCGCGUUGGAUUAGCUAGUUGGUAGGGUAAAAGCCUACCAAGGCGACGAUCCAUAGCCGGUCUGAGAGGAUGAUCAGCCACACUGGGACUGAGACACGGCCCAGACUCCUACGGGAGGCAGCAGUGGGGAAUAUUGGACAAUGGGCGAAAGCCUGAUCCAGCAAUGCCGCGUGAGUGAUGAAGGCCUUAGGGUUGUAAAGCUCUCUUACCCGGGAUGAUAAUGACAGUACCGGGAGAAUAAGCUCCGGCUAACUCCGUG
rnacentral:rRNA from 1 species